rnacentral:lncRNA from 1 species
GUAGUUGUAAGUCCCAUCUCUUUUCCCCUAGCAGAGGUAACCUUUGUGGUUCGCUCUGGUUGAUGGUGGAUUUUGUGGUCUUCUACCCAGUAUUCGGUAGUUGUAAAUCCUAUAUUGUUGUGGUUUUAUUCCCAACGGAGUCUGUGCUUUCUUGUGGAUAGUUGCCGGAUGCUAGAAACCCUAUCCUCAGCCAGAGUUUUGGUCUUCUACCCCGUAUUCGGUAGAUGUAAACCCUAAUUU